rnacentral:rRNA from 2 species
UACGUAGGGUGCGAGCGUUAAUCGGAAUUACUGGGCGUAAAGCGUGCGUAGGCGGUUCUCCAAGUCCGUUGUGAAAUCCCCGGGCUUAACCUGGGAAUGGCAGUGGAAACUAGGGGACUUGAAUCUGGCAGAGGGGGGUGGAAUUCCACGUGUAGCAGUGAAAUGCGUAGAGAUGUGGAGGAACACCGAUGGCGAAGGCAGCCCCCUGGGCUGAGAUUGACGCUGAGUGCACGAAAGCGUGGGGAGCAAACAGG